CCAAUAUUUACAGCAGUUGCUUCAACUCUUCCUGAAUAGCAUCUGCUGUGGCAGGGGCUGGGUUUGAGCCUCCAAAAGUUUGGUGCCUUCUCUAAGGUCACAUGGCUUGAAAUAGCAAAGCUGGAAUGUGAGUCCCUGCUUCUGGAUUCAGCCUUGUGUUCUUGGCCUACACCGCCACAACCCGUGGGGCAGCAAAUGGACAAAGAACUUUGGACUCAUUUUCAGUGAGUCGUCUCACUGUCAACAUCUUGGCAUGGUUGAUUUUCUGAGCUGAAAGAGCUGAGGACCUAGACCCUGACCUCUAGGGCUCUGCCUGAGAAGUAUGAAAAGGAAAAACUAUGAUGAAAACAACAUUGAAAAGCCUUUUCAAAAUGGAUCCAGGAGGCCAUUAAGGGGGAAAGAUUGUGCCGACUCCCCUGAUUGCUUGGAAAUCUGAAUUUCGGUCACC
rnacentral:lncRNA from 1 species